CGCUCGGCGGCUGGGUCAGGUGGCGGCGCGGGAGGGGCCGGGCGAGCGGCGCGAUGGCUCCGAGCGCGGAAGGCGGGCGAGACGCGCUGGGACGCGGGGCCCGGAAGGGCGUGCGGGCCCUGCUCCUGGGGCCGCCCGGGGCGGGGAAGGGCACUCAGGCUCCUCGUCUCGCUGAAACGUACUGUGUGUGCCAUCUGGCUACGGGAGAUAUGUUGAGGGCGAUGGUGGCUUCGGGCUCAGAGCUGGGGAAGAGGUUGAAGGAGACGAUGGAUGCUGGGAAGCUGGUGAGUGAUGAGAUGGUGGUAGAGCUGAUUGAGAAGAAUCUUGAGACCCCACUCUGCAAAAAUGGCUUCCUCUUGGACGGGUUCCCUCGCACUGUGCGACAAGCAGAGAUGCUGGACGAGCUGAUGGUGAAGAGGAAAGAGAAACUAGAUUCAGUCAUCGAAUUCAGCAUUGCUGACUCCUUGCUCAUCCGGAGAAUCACUGGACGGCUGAUCCACCCAGGAAGUGGCCGUUCCUACCAUGAGGAAUUCAACCCACCCAAGGUCGAUAUGAAGGACGAUGUCACCGGGGAAUCUCUGAUCCGCCGGUCAGAUGACAACGAAGCAGCGCUGAAAACACGCCUGAAGGCUUAUCACACCCAGACCAGUCCGCUGGUAGACUACUACUCCCGGCGUGGAAUCCAUACAGCUAUUGAUGCUUCCCAGUCUCCAGAUGUGGUUUUUGCCAGCAUCCUGGCAGCUUUCUCAAAAGCAACAAAGUGAAGUUCUCCCUUUGAGGAAUUCUAAGCAACCAAAGUCAUCUCCUGCCGGGCAAGGAAAUGCAGCACCACAAACAUAACAGCCGUGUGAUUCCAGACAGCAAACACAGCCCACGACUGCAUCAAGCAUGGCAUGUUCAACAACUGUCCCCCCCCCCAGCUUUGUUCUUAGAACAGAGAAUGAGGGUGGGGGUGAAAUGGAAGGCUUCAUCAAAAGAGGGAAGGAAAUUGCCAACUGUUGGGGUUCUCUCCAGAAUUGCACUAAGGAGGAAAUCCUGUUUUUUAAGAAAAGCAAAUCAGGAAGAUAAGAAUAAAGUAUUGCUGCAGACUUGA